rnacentral:rRNA from 1 species
GAACCUUACCUGGGCUCGAAGCGCAGUGGACCGCGGUAGAAAUAUCGCUUUCCCGCAAGGGACCGCUGCGUAGGUGCUGCAUGGCUGUCGUCAGCUCGUGCCGUGAGAUGUUGGGUUAAGUCCCGCAACGAGCGCAACCCUUAUUGCCAGUUGCCAUCAUUUAGUUGGGCACUCUGGCGAAACCGCCCCGGAUAACGGGGAGGAAGGUGGGGAUGACGUCAAGUCCUCAUGGCCUUUAUGUCCAGGGCUACACACGUGCUACAAUGGUUGGUACAAACCGUCGCAAACCCGCGAGGGGGAGCUAAUCGGAAAAAGCCAAUCCCAGCCCGGAUUGGAGUCUGCAACUCGACUCCAUGAAGCUGGAAUCGCUAGUAAUCGCAGAUCAGCACGCUGCGGUGAAUACGUUCCCGGGCCUUGUCACACCGA